rnacentral:rRNA from 1 species
GUGGGGAAUAUUGGACAAUGGGCGAAAGCCUGAUCCAGCCAUGCCGCGUGUGUGAAGAAGGUCUUCGGAUUGUAAAGCACUUUAAGUUGGGAGGAAGGGCAGUAAGUUAAUACCUUGUUGUUUUGACGUUACCGACAGAAUAAGCACCGGCUAACUUCGUGCCAGCAGCCGCGGUAAUACGAAGGGUGCAAGCGUUAAUCGGAAUUAUUGGGCGUAAAGCGCGCGUAGGUGGUUCGUUAAGUUGGAUAUGAAAGCCCCGGGCUCAACCUGGGAACUGCAUCCAAAACUGGCGAGCUAGAGUACGGUAGAGGGUGGUGGAAUUUCCUGUGUAGCGGUGAAAUGCGUAGAUAUAGGAAGGAACACCAGUGGCGAAGGCGACCACCUGGACUGAUACUGACACUGAGGUGCGAAAGCGUGGGGAGCAAACAGGAUUAGAAACCCUUGUAGUCC